rnacentral:rRNA from 1 species
UACGUAGGGUGCAAGCGUUGUCCGGAAUUAUUGGGCGUAAAGAGCUCGUAGGCGGUCUGUCGCGUCGGAUGUGAAAAUCAGGGCUCAACCCUGGACCUGCAUUCGAUACGGGCAGACUAGAGUUCGGUAGGGGAGACUGGAAUCCUGGUGUAGCGGUGAAAUGCGCAGAUAUCAGGAGGAACACCGGUGGCGAAGGCGGGUCUCUGGGCCGAAACUGACGCUGAGGAGCGAAAGCGUGGGGAGCAAACAGG